AUGGAGGGUCGUUGGAGCGCCGCCCUGCUGGAUGCUUCAGCCACAGUGCAGGUCAAAGAGGCUCAGCACCUGCAGAUCACACAGUACCACCAGCAAACAGAGGCCCUGAGAGCCACCCUACAGAGAUUCACAGCAGAGCUGGAAAUGUUAAGCCUGGAUAAUUUGGGAAGCACUUCCAUUCAAGCUGAAAAAUUGCAGACAUUCCUGAAGUGCAUGGACCAGGAGAAGGGCAAGAUAGGAGAACUGCUGCAGACCUGCUGCCAGGUAUCUGCCCACCUCAGUGAGGCAGAUGGGCCUGUAGCACUCCUUGCUCAGGUAGAAGGCCUUCAAGAGGGGUGGCAGAUAUUACAGGGGACUGCGGACAGAACCCUGAGGCAUGCCAAUGCUUGCACAACUGAGGCCUCUGCUGUACUUCAAGGGGCCAAGGAGCUACUCUGCAAACUGGAGAACGUACAAACAUCCAUGGCUUCGUUACAGUCCUCAACAUCACUAUCAGAUUGCCAGAUGGCCAUACAGCUUACUGUGACAGCUUCAGAACUGAACACAGUUAAAGAGCAAUGCUUUAACCUUCUUGGGAUUUUUGAAGCAUUCAACCGAAGCUUUCUCGGGAAGAAGGAAAAGCAUGAAAUGGAAGAGGCCAUGCUGCACCUGAAGGCACAGUUGGAUCACACUCAGGAGCAGGUCUACAGCAAAACCACUCCUGUUAGUGACCCUUCAGUAGCUAAACUUAUUGAAGUGAUUGAAGACUUUCUUCCGUGGGCUAAACACGUAGAGCAACAAAUCGAAGCAAGGAGAAAAGUAGCCCUGUUCUGUGAACAUGCCCAUCACCAGCCUACCAACAUGAAGAGGCUCCAGUCAGAGGUUUCUGCCAGGCACACCAAAGUCAUGUCUGUAGUGGAGGAACAGAAGGCCUUACUCUCAGGCCUGAAGGAAGGUGAUGUUUCUGUAAUGUUGUCUUUAUUGGAGGAUUUAGAGGAUACCUAUCAAGUUAUUUCAGAGAAGGUCACUCAUGCAGUUGAGGAUUUUGACCAGGCACUACAGUCAAGAGAUAAGAUGUGGGGUCAGAUUUCAAAUGUCAAUACAUGGUUGAUGGCCCACAUAGAGAAGGAAAGUAGCAGGACCAAAGAUUCAAAGCUAAAGGCUAGCGUGGCAGACUUGAAGGUUGGACUACAGUGGCAUAGUGCUACCCUGAAAGAAGCAGAAAGACAAGCUGCUGUCAUCGACACCCUCCUGGAGCAAAGUGUGAUUAUAAUCCCCGACCUUAGCAUUGGAGAGAGCCAUCAUCUCAUUGACAGGCUUUCGAUCCUGCAAGCAGAGGUGUCAGGAGUCGCUAGCUGUGAGCGAGCUGCUUGCUGGGAACUGGAAGAACUUCUCCAUGCCCAGCAAGCCACAGCUGAAGAGCUGGCCACCAUCCAGAAGAGCCUAAAGCAGAUAUCUAUGGAUCUGGAAAGGCAAAGGUUCCCUGUGACUAGUGACUCUUUGUCUGCCAUUGAGCCACUGAGACACAUGCUGGUUGAGCACCAGUGCCAGGCCCAGGAGCUUCAGCACUGCCAGGAGUCUCAGAGGAAGGGGCUGCUGCAGACCAUCCACACCCUUCAGGCCAAGGCAAGGAUGCUUGAUAUCCAAGCCAGGGAACACGAGAAGUACCUGGGCUACAGGAAGCGCAUGGAGGACUCCAGGGAGGCGGUGAAGAGGAGGAUCCCACUGAUGAGCGAUCGGACAGUGGACUGGAGGGAGAGGCUGCAGGUCUGCAGGGCACUUCUGGUGGAGCUUCCCCUGGUAAAGCAACAGGGUCAGCAGGCUGCUGAUCAGCUGGAGGCCAUCUCAGGGGAUGUCUACCCAUCUCAGCUGACCUCCGAGCGGCAGAAAAUCCACCGCACAGUGGAGAACCUGGCCACCUGGGAAUUGACCAUUCACAACGAGCUUUGCAGCCUCGAGCGCAAGUUGUUAGAGGGACUCGAGUACCCAGCAGAUCUCACAGCUAUCGCUAACGUCUUUCACAAAGCCAGACAAGAACUUCAGCGAGCCGUCUGCCUAGAUCCCAACGAGCGAGCCAUUGUGGCUGAGUUGCAGAAGUGUUCAUUGCUUCAGAGGAGAUUGGAGUCCGGUUUGCGAGUGCUGGAGGCUUUGGAGCACAGGAAAGCAGCAGAGGCGGAAGCUCUGCGGGAACUGUCUCACUAUGGAAAGAAGAUCUCAAGAGAUUGUAAUAUCAGAAUGGUAAGCUCUUUGGUGUCUAUGUAUACUGUGUGCCUGUAGCUCUGGUAAUAGAGUAAGGUACCAGCAAGGUCAUUUGUUAUAUACUCAAGGACCACACACACACCUACUGAUGAUGAUAGUCUUUGGAUGAAAGCAUCUGCUAAAUACUCAAAGAUGCAAAUGUACUAGUGAUGUUGUAGACAUGGUGCACCUUUGUUCAGUGACCCACAUAGAACAUAUGGCUGGCUUUUAUUUUUCCUCUUAUGUAUGUUUAGUUGCUGUUGUUCCUAUCACUCCAGUGGAGCAUAGGCCAUCGAUUGAGAGUUUCCACC
rnacentral:lncRNA from 1 species